rnacentral:rRNA from 1 species
GACGAACGCUGGCGGCGUGCUUAACACAUGCAAGUCGAACGGAAAGGCCCUUCGGGGUACUCGAGUGGCGAACGGGUGAGUAACACGUGGGUGAUCUGCCCUGCACUUUGGGAUAAGCCUGGGAAACUGGGUCUAAUACCGAAUAGGACCACGCGCUUCAUGGUGUGUGGUGGAAAGCUUUUGCGGUGUGGGAUGGGCCCGCGGCCUAUCAGCUUGUUGGUGGGGUAAUGGCCUACCAAGGCGACGACGGGUAGCCGGCCUGAGAGGGUGACCGGCCACACUGGGACUGAGAUACGGCCCAGACUCCUACGGGAGGCAGCAGUGGGGAAUAUUGCACAAUGGGCGCAAGCCUGAUGCAGCGACGCCGCGUGAGGGAUGACGGCCUUCGGGUUGUAAACCUCUUUCAAUAGGGACGAAGCGCAAGUGACGGUACCUAUAGAAGAAGCACCGGCCAACUACGUGCCAGCAGCCGCGGUAAUACGUAGGGUGCGAGCGUUGUCCGGAAUUACUGGGCGUAAAGAGCUUGUAGGUGGUUUGUCGCGUUGUUCGUGAAAACUCACAGCUUAACUGUGGGCGUGCGGGCGAUACGGGCAGACUAGAGUACUGCAGGGGAGACUGGAAUUCCUGGUGUAGCGGUGGAAUGCGCAGAUAUCAGGAGGAACACCGGUGGCGAAGGCGGGUCUCUGGGCAGUAACUGACGCUGAGGAGCGAAAGCGUGGGGAGCGAACAGGAUUAGAUACCCUGGUAGUCCACGCCGUAAACGGUGGGUACUAGGUGUGGGUUCCUUCCUUGGGAUCCGUGCCGUAGCUAACGCAUUAAGUACCCCGCCUGGGGAGUACGGCCGCAAGGCUAAAACUCAAAGGAAUUGACGGGGGCCCGCACAAGCGGCGGAGCAUGUGGAUUAAUUCGAUGCAACGCGAAGAACCUUACCUGGGUUUGACAUGCACAGGACGCCGGCAGAGAUGUCGGUUCCCUUGUGGCCUGUGUGCAGGUGGUGCAUGGCUGUCGUCAGCUCGUGUCGUGAGAUGUUGGGUUAAGUCCCGCAACGAGCGCAACCCUUGUCCUAUGUUGCCAGCGGGUUAUGCCGGGGACUCGUAGGAGACUGCCGGGGUCAACUCGGAGGAAGGUGGGGAUGACGUCAAGUCAUCAUGCCCCUUAUGUCCAGGGCUUCACACAUGCUACAAUGGCCGGUACAAAGGGCUGCGAUGCCGUGAGGUGGAGCGAAUCCUUUCAAAGCCGGUCUCAGUUCGGAUCGGGGUCUGCAACUCGACCCCGUGAAGUCGGAGUCGCUAGUAAUCGCAGAUCAGCAACGCUGCGGUGAAUACGUUCCCGGGCCU